AAUGAAUGUUGCUUCGCUAGAUUUGUAGCUUCCGAUCAAGACCUGAACAUCAAGAAUCAGAUCGAAGGGCUGGUGCUGGGUUUUGUUGUACAAGGAGUGACAAGAGAGAGGGAAAGAGCUAGCCAGAGGAAGAAAUAAGGGUUUGACAGGGUUAUCCUAGUCUCAUCACAUGAAUUACGGGUUUGACAAAUUGACUCGAGUAAAUUUUAUAUCCUUUUUUAAUUAAGUUUUUUUCAAUUUCAUUGAUCAAUAUUGAGUUGAUAAGAAAUUGUGUUUUAUAAUUUAUUUUAAUUUUUUUUACAUGAAGAUAUUAUGGUCUCAUGAACCUUAUCAUAGGUUUAUCAGGUUGACUUGAGACAAUCCAAAAUGUUGUCUUACUAUUUUAAAAAAUAAGAUAUCAUCUUGAAUUGGUUUUAGUCAAAUUAUAUUUUUACUAGUUAUUUAGGUUAUUUUGACAUUUGUCAAGUCAACUAAAUUGUAUCAGAUCAUUCACUCAUCAUUUAAAUUUUUUUUUAACUAUAAAACUUGUUAAUAAUAUCUGAAUAUAUUUUUAUAUUAAUUUUUUAAUCCAGUCCACGACAAAUCUUAAGCAAAUCAUGUAGUUCUUACUGUAACAUGGGAAUCACCUUGUUUGUUUAGUUAAUAGAGCUAUUUUACGUACGUGGUACUAAUUAACCACUAAAUAGUUUAUGUCGUUUGUUUUUUUUUUUUAAUCAAAACCUCCAGAAUUAUUGUUUACUUGUAAUCCUUGAAUUAUAGAUAAUUUUUUAAUUUAAGCCUUUUUUGUUACAUUUUAUCCAUUUUAUUUAGACGUUAUGUAUAAAUACAUAUAGAACUAUUGUUUUUUCUUAAGAAUCAGAAAGAAUGACUCAAAAAUCAUAAGAAAUUAGGGGUUGAUUUCUUGGUUAUAUUUUAUGAUACUGUAAAUGAUGUUUUUUAUAUUGAAAUUACUGGGACGAGUUUUUAACGAUCUAAUGAUUUUAAUCUCAUGUAUUUUUUAUAUUUUAUAAUGCAAUCUGCGCAACUGAUGUGUUAUUUAACAGGAAAUUAGAUAGAUUGUUAAAGAAAGGAUAUAUAUUUUCAAUUAAAUUAGUUGUAUUUUAAUCAAUUGGGCUGAAAUGUACAGAAAUUUAAAUUAUUCCUCAUAACUUUUCACCUCAAACAAGUCCCUUUUGUUCGACACAAGAAUUCCGAGAGGAGGAAUCAGGAACGGAUGGUAGCGGGUUGAAAGCAUAAUUUUAAAACCCGGAUCGGCGGGCCGACUUGAGGCUGGAAUUGGAUCGGGUUGAAGAAAAACAGGAAAAGAAAAAAUCUGGUGUGAUCCAGCAAGACUCAAUUAAAAACCCGGGGGCAACCCGGUGACUCGUUGAAAACCCGAAACCCAGAUCUUGGACCAGACCGGAUCUAAAAUCUAUGGUUAAAAGGCUAUCCUCCUAAAAAGUGAUGGGUUCUAUCCCACUAUCAUUUUCCAAAUAUUUAUCCCAUCAUUUUUUCCUAGUCAGAUUUUUAAUCUUCAACCCAUUUAUUUUUAAAUUUGUGCUCUAUUAACUUAUAUCAUUGAGAUUAAUUUAUAUCC